CAGAAAAAAGCAUUUAGAUGCAUUUCACUUACACUGAAAAUAAACUACAGUAAGCAGUUUUUCUGA
rnacentral:tRNA from 1 species